UAAGUUUGAUGGCGACCGGCGCACGGGUGAGUAACACGUAUCCAACCUGCCGAUGACUCGGGGAUAGCCUUUCGAAAGAAAGAUUAAUACCCGAUGGCAUAGUUCUUCCGCAUGGUGGAACUAUUAAAGAAUUUCGGUCAUCGAUGGGGAUGCGUUCCCUUAGGUUGUUGGCGGGGUAACGGCCCACCAAGCCUUCGAUGGAUAGGGGUUCUGAGAGGAAGGUCCCCCACAUUGGAACUGAGACACGGUCCAAACUCCUACGGGAGGCAGCAUG
rnacentral:rRNA from 1 species